rnacentral:tRNA from 1 species
GGCUCGGUAGCUUAGUUGGUAAAGCGCUCGUCUAGCAUACAAAAGUCCCGGUUUUAAAUCCCAGCCGAGCAU